GACGAACGCUGGCGGCGUGCCUAAUACAUGCAAGUUGAGCGCUGAAGGUUGGUACUUGUACCAACUGGAUGAGCAGCGAACGGGUGAGUAACGCGUGGGGAAUCUGCCUUUGAGCGGGGGCAAACUUUGGGAACCAAAGGCUAAUACCGCUUAAAACCUUAAACCACAGUUUUAAAUUUUGAAAGAUGAAUUUGAUUCCCCAAAUAAGAACCCCCGUUGGAUUAGCGAGGUGGUGAGGUAAAGGCCCAACCAAGGGAAGAAACAUAGCCGACCCGGGAGGGGGGUCGGCCACAUUGGGGCUGAGAAACGGCCCAAACUCCUACGGGGGGCAGCAGUAGGGAAUCUUCGGCAAUGGACGAAAGUCUGAACGAGCAACGCCGCGGGAGUGAAGAAGGUUUUCGGAUCGUAAAACUCUGUUGGUAGAGAAGAACGUUGGUGGGAGUGGAAAGCUCAUCAAGUGACGGUAACUACCCAGAAAGGGACGGCUAACUACGUG
rnacentral:rRNA from 1 species